rnacentral:rRNA from 1 species
AACGAACGCUGGCGGCAUGCCUAAUACAUGCAAGUCGAACGAGACCUUCGGGUCUAGUGGCGCACGGGUGCGUAACGCGUGGGAAUCUGCCCUUGGGUUCGGAAUAACUCGCCGAAAGGCGUGCUAAUACCGGAUGAUGACGUAAGUCCCAAGAUUUAUCGCCCAAGGAUGAGCCCGCGUAGGAUUAGCUUGUUGGUGAGGUAAAAGCUCACCAAGGCGACGAUCCUUAGCUGGUCUGAGAGGAUGAUCAGCCACACUGGGACUGAGACACGGCCCAGACUCCUACGGGAGGCAGCAGUAGGGAAUAUCGGACAAUGGGCGAAAGCCUGAUCCAGCAAUGCCGCGUGAGUGAUGAAGGCCUUAGGGUUGUAAAGCUCUUUUAGCCGGGAUGAUAAUGACAGUACCGGGAGAAUAAGCUCCGGCUAACUCCGUGCCAGCAGCCGCGGUAAUACGGAGGGAGCUAGCGUUGUUCGGAAUUACUGGGCGUAAAGCG